rnacentral:rRNA from 1 species
UACGUAGGGUGCAAGCGUUAAUCGGAAUUACUGGGCGUAAAGCGUGCGCAGGCGGUUAUGUAAGACAGAUGUGAAAUGCCCGGGCUUAACCUGGGAACUGCAUUUGUGACUGCAUGGCUAGGAGUUUGGCAGAGGGGGGUAGAAUUCCACGUGUAGCAGUGAAAUGCGUAGAUAUGUGGGAGGAACACCGAUGGCGAAGGCAGCCCCCUGGGUCAAGAC